AAGAAUCGUUAGGCCGGGGUAGCCCAGCAAGAUCAAAGAAACCAACAAAGUCUCAGCUUGUCUCAUCACGUCUGGUCCGGACAAAGAUAUUGACAUUUCCUCUUCCAUGCGUUUGAGAACAAAGAAAUGCAACAGGAUCAAGGACAGACUAUCAAUGUGAGAAAGAAAGAAAGAAUAUGGCCUUCAAUUAUCUGUCACCUUGUUGUGUUCACAGUCAGUACAAAGGAACACAAUGGAAUCAAUUAAAAAUUGUGCACAAAGAAAGACAGGCAAAUAACCAAUGUGCAAAAGACAGCAAAUUGUGCAAAUACAAAAAAACCCAUAAUAAUAAUAAUAAUAAAUAAAUAAUAGAUAUUGAAAGCAUGAUUUGUAGAGCCCUUGAAAAUGAGUCUAUAGUUUGUGGAUUCAGUUCAGUAUUGAGGUGAGUGAAGUUAUCCACUCUGAGUUGGGAGCCUGAUUGUUGAGGGGUACUAAAUGUUCCUGAAUCUGGUGAUGAGAGACCGAAGGU